CGUGAAUCUUGCUGCUUAGAGGGAAGGAGAGUUUGGUGCGUUUGCACGUGCGUCGGUUUUCUCGCAGCUGGCCACAUCACCUCAUCUUUGGUGACUUCCCUUGAAGUUGCAUUGCUUAAAUUCUUCAAGAAAGAUUCUGUGGGUUGAGAGAUUGGAAAAGGCACACCAGAGAUGGCUUGUCUCAGCUGGGAAGGCUGGAACCGCUGGGGCCAGAGGAUCCACCUUCCAGAUGGCGCCAUCUUCUCUUGCGCGUCUGGCUUCUGAUCUGGGCUGGGACUGUUGACCAGAGUGCCCAUCAGUAUGUGGCCUUUCCAGGUGGUGUGAGCUUUU